AACGUAGGAGACGAACGUUGUCCGGAUUUACUGGGCGUAAAGAGCUCGUAGGCGGUUUGUUGCGUCUGCCGUGAAAGUCCGGGGCUCAACUCCGGAUCUGCGGUGGGUACGGGCAGACUAGAGUGAUGUAGGGGAGACUGGAAUUCCUGGUGUAGCGGUGAAAUGCGCAGAUAUCAGGAGGAACACCGAUGGCGAAGGCAGGUCUCUGGGCAUUAACUGACGCUGAGGAGCGAAAGCAUGGGGAGCGAACAGG
rnacentral:rRNA from 1 species